UAGUCAGUUACGCUGGUUAAAUUGCAUUGAUCCAUGAAUCUUUUUAAGAUAUACACACACACACACACACACAUUUGUCGCACACACAAAUUAGAAAUGAAGAAUACAAUAAUGAUGUACUGUUCUCUAAUCCAAAGACAAACAAGGAUUCCUGUACAACUCCAUUGAAUAGAACCACAAAUGAAGAUCUCAUUACUUAAUUCCACCAUAAGUAGAUUUAGCUCGUUUACCCUUAACUGGCUAAAUUGUAUUGAUCCAUUUAGUCUUUAAAACCAAUUUCAGUGUGUAAGGCGCCUUGAACUUGCGCAUUCUCUAUUAAAUGUAUGAACUAACAUUGAGUAUUUAGUUGCAGCAGAAAGAUUCAGUGAAGGAUAUAACAUAAUGGCAAU
rnacentral:misc_RNA from 1 species